rnacentral:rRNA from 1 species
GACGAACGCUGGCGGCGUGCUUAACACAUGCAAGUCGAACGGAAAGGCCCUGCUGUUGUGGGGUGCUCGAGUGGCGAACGGGUGAGUAACACGUGAGUAACCUGCCCUUGACUCUGGGAUAACUUCAGGAAACUGGGGCUAAUACCGGAUAGGAGCUCCUGCUGCAUGGUGGGGGUUGGAAAGUUUCGGCGGUUGGGGAUGGACUCGCGGCUUAUCAGCUUGAUGGUGGGGUAGUGGCUUACCAAGGCUUUGACGGGUAGCCGGCCUGAGAGGGUGACCGGCCACAUUGGGACUGAGCUACGGCCGGGACUCCUGCGGGAGGCAGCAGUGUGGAAUAUUGCACGAUGGGCGGAAGCCUGAUGCAGCAACGCCGCGUGCGGGAUGACGGCCUUCGGGUGGUAGGCGGCUUUCGCCUGUGACGAAGCGUGAUUGACGGUAAUAGGUAAAGAAGCACCGGCUAACUACGUG